GACGUAGGGCGCGAGCGUUGUCCGGAUUUAUUGGGCGUAAAGAGCUCGUAGGCGGUCUGUCGCGUCGGUCGUGAAAACUUGGGGCUUAACCCUGAGCUUGCGGUCGAUACGGGCAUGACUGGAGUUCGGCAGGGGAGACUGGAAUUCCGUGGUGUAGCGGUGAAAUGCGCAGAUAUCAGGAGGAACACCGGUGGCGAAGGCGGGUCUCUGGGCCGAUACUGACGCUGAGGAGCGAAAGCGUGGGGAGCAAACAGG
rnacentral:rRNA from 1 species